UUUUAUGGAGAGUUUGAUCCUGGCUCAGGAUGAACGCUGGCGGCGUGCCUAAUACAUGCAAGUCGAGCGAACGGACGAGAAGCUUGCUUCUCUGAUGUUAGCGGCGGACGGGUGAGUAACACGUGGAUAACCUACCUAUAAGACUGGGAUAACUUCGGGAAACCGGAGCUAAUACCGGAUAAUAUUUUGAACCGCAUGGUUCAAAAGUGAAAGACGGUCUUGCUGUCACUUAUAGAUGGAUCCGCGCUGCAUUAGCUAGUUGGUAAGGUAACGGCUUACCAAGGCAACGAUGCAUAGCCGACCUGAGAGGGUGAUCGGCCACACUGGAACUGAGACACGGUCCAGACUCCUACGGGAGGCAGCAGUAGGGAAUCUUCCGCAAUGGGCGAAAGCCUGACGGAGCAACGCCGCGUGAGUGAUGAAGGUCUUCGGAUCGUAAAACUCUGUUAUUAGGG
rnacentral:rRNA from 1 species